AGAGUUUGAUCCUGGCUCAGGAUGAACGCUGGCGGCGUGCCUAACACAUGCAAGUCGAACGAAGCACUUAUCUUCGAAUCUUUCGGGAUGAAGAGAUAUUUGACUGAGUGGCGGACGGGUGAGUAACGCGUGGGUAACCUGCCUCAUACAGGGGGAUAACAGUUAGAAAUGACUGCUAAUACCGCAUAAGCGCACGGAAUCGCAUGAUUCAGUGUGAAAAGCCGAGACGGUAUGAGAUGGACCCGCGUCUGAUUAGGUAGUUGGUGAGGUAACGGCCCACCAAGCCGACGAUCAGUAGCCGACCUGAGAGGGUGACCGG
rnacentral:rRNA from 1 species